GCCUUCGUGGUGUAGUGGUCAGCACACUCGAGGCGCAACCGAGAGGUCCGUGGUUCGAUUCCCGGCGAAGGCG
rnacentral:tRNA from 1 species